UAAGGAAUAUUGGACAAUGGAAGGAAUUCUGAUCCAGCCAUCUCGCGUGCAGGAAGACAGCCCUCUGGGUUGUAAACUGCUUUUAUAAGGGAAGAAUAGUAUGGAUUAAUCCGUAUAUGACGGUACCUUAUGAAUAAGCACCGGCUAACUCCGUGCCAGCAGCCGCGGUAAUACGGAGGGUGCGAGCGUUAUCCGGAAUUACUGGGUUUAAAGGGUGCGUAGGUGGUAAUUUAUGUCAGGCGUGAAAUACUUUUGCUUAACGAAGGGAUUGCGUUUGAAACUGGAUUACUUGAAUUAGGAUGAGGAUAGCAGAAUGUGACAUGUAGCGGUGAAAUGCAUAGAUAUGUCAUGGAAUACCAAUUGCGAAGGCAGCUAUCUGGCCCUAUAUUGACACUGAGGCACGAAAGCGUGGGGAUCAAACAG
rnacentral:rRNA from 1 species